rnacentral:rRNA from 1 species
UACGUAGGGGGCUAGCGUUGUCCGGAAUCAUUGGGCGUAAAGCGCGCGUAGGCGGCCCGGUAAGUCCGCUCUGAAAGUCCAGGGCUCAACCCUGGAAGGCGGGUGGAUACUGCCGGGCUAGAAUCCGGAAGAGGCGAGUGGAAUUCCUGGUGUAGCGGUGGAAUGCGUAGAUAUCGGGAGGAACACCAGUGGCGAAGGCGGCAUCCUGGACCGGUAUUGACGCUGAGGCGCGAAAGCCAGGGGAGCAAACGGG